rnacentral:rRNA from 1 species
CACGUAGGGUGCGAGCGUUGUCCGGAAUUAUUGGGCGUAAAGAGCUCGUAGGCGGUGUGUCGCGUCGGCCGUGAAAACCUGCAGCUUAACUGUGGGCGUGCGGUCGAUACGGGCAUCACUGGAGUUCGGCAGGGGAGGCUGGAAUUCCUGGUGUAGCGGUGAAAUGCGCAGAUAUCAGGAGGAACACCGGUGGCGAAGGCGGGUCUCUGGGCCGAUACUGACGCUGAGGAGCGAAAGCGUGGGGAGCGAACAGG